GCCAGUGUGGCUCAAUAGUAGAGCAUUGGCCCACACACCAAGGGUCAAGGGUUCGAUUCCCUGUCAAGAGCA
rnacentral:tRNA from 1 species